rnacentral:rRNA from 1 species
CAGCAGCCGCGGGAACACGUAGGUGGCAAGCGUUGUCCGGAAUUAUUGGGCGUAAAGGGCUCGCAGGCGGUUUCUUAAGUCUGAUGUGAAAGCCCCCGGCUCAACCGGGGAGGGUCAUUGGAAACUGGGAAACUUGAGUGCAGAAGAGGAGAGUGGAAUUCCACGUGUAGCGGUGAAAUGCGUAGAGAUGUGGAGGAACACCAGUGGCGAAGGCGACUCUCUGGUCUGUAACUGACGCUGAGGAGCGAAAGCGUGGGGAGCGAACAGGAUUAGAUACCCCGGUAGUCCCUGUCUCUUAUAC